rnacentral:tRNA from 2 species
GGCGGGAGUAACUCAGGUGGUAGAGUACCUGCCUUCCAAGCAGGCUGUCGCGGGUUCGAGUCCCGUCUCCCGCUCCC